rnacentral:lncRNA from 1 species
UAUUUAGGUAGUGAAUAGAAUUUUCUAUCAAAAAUUCAAUCUAUUCCAAUUCUUGUACACCGUUAAACUAGCAAAUAUCUCAUACUAAUCGUUAAAAAUUGUCAAUUUUGUAACAUUUUGAUCGUAAGAUAAAUGAUGUCGAAAAAUUAUGAAAUUUGAUUUCUAAAAGUUUUAAAUGUUCUAAAUAAUGUUUAAUGGUAUGGAUAAUCGAUUUGGAAGUUCUAUCAUCAAAAUCGACUUAUGAGUACAAGGACGAUCGUACUCAUAAGUAUAGUAACUGAACUCUCUCUGUCCCUCUCUCUCUCUCUCUCUCUCUCUCUCUCUCUAUAUAGAAUUAGGCCACUAUAUUAUCUAUAGUACCGGAGCUCCGGUACUAUAGUCUCAUUUUUGAUCUUAGGUUGUUCAAAUUAACGAUUCACACCUUUAAAUAUGUUCUAGGGUAUAUGGAGUUCUUAAAAAUAAAAUUUUAAAUUUUUUCGACAUCGUUUACUUAGUAAGUAAAUCAUGUCAAAAUGAAUGAUUGAAAUUGAGCAAUCUUUAAAAUUUGAGAAUAGAACUUUUAAAUUCAAGAUUAAGGAUGUUAAUCUUGAUCUAAAUAGUUUAAAAUAUUUUUUAUCAAAAUUUGAAUAAAUUUAGAUUUUUUUACACCGUUAAACUACAAACUCACCAUACUAGCCAUUGAAAAUUGACAAUUUCAAAAUAAUUUGAUCAUAAAGUAAACUAUGUUAAAAAAAUAUAAAAUUUUAUUCCUAAAAACUUCAAAUAUCCUACAUCAGUUUUAAUAAUAUGGAUCGUUGAUUUAAACAUUCUAAAGUUAAAAACGAGACUAUAGUACCAAAAUCCCGCUA